UGAAAAAAAAAAGAAACUAGCAAUUUUCUUUUUGCGUUUCAAACAUGCAAAGUUGACAAAAAGAAAAACGAAAAUGGUUCAGGAUUCUGUUCAGUUGUUUACAUAUAGAGUGGAGCCUCUAGCGGCUAUUAGUUUCUACGAUCGUCUGCUACCAACCCUUUGUUCGCCAAAGAAUUUUUCCGGUGUCCCCUUUUGAUUUGUGUCUUUUUCGACAUUUGAUUUCGUACAAGAACGCCAUUUUUGCUUUAAGUGUGUGAUAUACAUCGAGUUACGGUGCUGCGUGCUGAUUUUUUAUCCAAAAGAUCGAAAACAAUCCAAAACGAGACCAUCUAGACGAAACUGCUGUUGCCGCCACAUGGCCUCGAGGAAUUUUUUUUUGUGUGGAAUCGAGGGAUGUGUGCCGGCCAAUAAUGAGGUGACAUAGUGACGCAGCUAAACGUGCCGCUACACCGAACGGAAACGGAAAAUACGCAACGAGGCAUCACGACAUGCCCGUGUAUAGAAUCCAAUCAAUGGACGACGCCCAUCAACAUGCGCAUCGUGAAUUUGUGAUUUAUUGCUCAUCAACAACAGCCCUGAAAAUCGAAUUCCAAACUAUAGGCUUACACACUUCCGGGUUUUGCGAUCGUUGGCAGCCAUUGAAGAUCUGUCCUGCUGGAUGGUCGAUUGAGUUAACGUAUAAUUAAAAGAAAAAAUUACGUCAAAGAUUUAAAGAAUCUGGCCGUCUCUGCUUUCGUUACAGCAGCCUUGCGCACUGUAUGACAUCUAAGAUUCCAAGAAGUUAUUAUUAAAUAGAUUACCUAGUUAUGCAGACCUUCAGUUUCAACCUCUGCAGGGUGGUCAUUACUUCUCAGAAGAAUCUACGUUAAGAUAUUUGGCAGUUACCACCAGG